CCCUUAGACGUUCUGGGCCGCACGCGCGCUACAAUGAUGAAUUCAACGAGUUUAUAACCUUGGUUGAAAAGCCUGGGUAAUCUUUUGAACUUUCGUCGUGAUGGGGCUAGACCCUUGCAAUUAUUGGUCUCCAACGAGGAAUUCCUAGUAAACGCAAGUCAUCAGCUUGCAUUGAUUAUGUCCCUGCCCUUUGUACACACCGCCCGUCGCACCUACCGAUUGAAUGGUCCGGUGAAAUCUUCGGAUUGAGACUUUGUUUUCUUCACGGAAAACGCUGUUUUAAAAAGUUGAUUAAACCUUACCAUUUAGAGGAAGGUGAAGUCGUAACA
rnacentral:rRNA from 1 species